UACGAAGGGGGCUAGCGUUGCUCGGAAUCACUGGGCGUAAAGGGUGCGUAGGCGGGUCUUUAAGUCAGGGGUGAAAUCCUGGAGCUCAACUCCAGAACUGCCUUUGAUACUGAAGAUCUUGAGUUCGGGAGAGGUGAGUGGAACUGCGAGUGUAGAGGUGAAAUUCGUAGAUAUUCGCAAGAACACCAGUGGCGAAGGCGGCUCACUGGCCCGAUACUGACGCUGAGGCGCGAAAGCGUGGGGAGCAAACAGG
rnacentral:rRNA from 1 species